UCAAGUGAAGAAGCGCAUACGGUGGAUGCCUUGGCAGUCAGAGGCGAUGAAAGACGUGGUAGCCUGCGAUAAGCUUUGGGGAGUCGGCAAACAGACUGUGAUCCAGAGAUCUCUGAAUGGGGGAACCCACUCAGCAUAAGCUGAGUAUCUUGUACUGAAUACAUAGGUGCAAGAGGCGAACCAGGGGAACUGAAACAUCUAAGUACCCUGAGGAAAAGAAAUCAACCGAGAUUCCCUUAGUAGUGGCGAGCGAACGGGGACCAGCCCUUAAGUUGAUUUGAGAUUAGUGGAACGCUCUGGAAAGUGCGGCCAUAGUGGGUGAUAGCCCCGUACACGAAAAUCUCUUGUCAAUGAAAUCGAGUAGGACGGAGCACGAGAAACUUUGUCUGAACAUGGGGGGACCAUCCUCCAAGGCUAAAUACUACUGACUGACCGAUAGUGAACCAGUACCGUGAGGGAAAGGCGAAAAGAACCCCGGAGAGGGGAGUGAAAUAGAACCUGAAACCGUAUGCGUACAAGCAGUGGGAGCCUACUUGUUAGGUGACUGCGUACCUUUUGUAUAAUGGGUCAGCGACUUAUAUUCAGUGGCGAGCUUAACCGAAUAGGGGAGGCGUAGCGAAAGCGAGUCUUAAUAGGGCGUUUAGUCGCUGGGUAUAGACCCGAAACCGGGCGAUCUAUCCAUGGGCAGGUUGAAGGUUAGGUAACACUGACUGGAGGACCGAACCGACUACCGUUGAAAAGUUAGCGGAUGACCUGUGGAUCGGAGUGAAAGGCUAAUCAAGCUCGGAGAUAGCUGGUUCUCCUCGAAAGCUAUUUAGGUAGCGCCUCAUGUAUCACUGUAGGGGGUAGAGCACUGUUUCGGCUAGGGGGUCAUCCCGACUUACCAAACCGAUGCAAACUCCGAAUACCUACAAGUGCCGAGCAUGGGAGACACACGGCGGGUGCUAACGUCCGUCGUGAAAAGGGAAACAACCCAGACCGUCAGCUAAGGUCCCAAAGUCAUGGUUAAGUGGGAAACGAUGUGGGAAGGCUUAGACAGCUAGGAGGUUGGCUUAGAAGCAGCCAUCCUUUAAAGAAAGCGUAAUAGCUCACUAGUCGAGUCGGCCUGCGCGGAAGAUGUAACGGGGCUCAAACCAUGCACCGAAGCUACGGGUAUCACCUUUUGGUGAUGCGGUAGAGGAGCGUUCUGUAAGCCUGUGAAGGUGAGUUGAGAAGCUUGCUGGAGGUAUCAGAAGUGCGAAUGCUGACAUGAGUAACGACAAUGCGAGUGAAAAACUCGCACGCCGAAAGACCAAGGUUUCCUGCGCAACGUUAAUCGACGCAGGGUUAGUCGGUCCCUAAGGCGAGGCUGAAAAGCGUAGUCGAUGGAAAACAGGUUAAUAUUCCUGUACUUCCAGUUAUUGCGAUGGAGGGACGGAGAAGGCUAGGCCAGCUUGGCGUUGGUUGUCCAAGUUUAAGGUGGUAGGCUGAGAUCUUAGGCAAAUCCGGGAUCUCAAGGCCGAGAGCUGAUGACGAGUUGCCAUUAGGCGACGAAGUGGUUGAUGCCAUGCUUCCAAGAAAAGCUCCUAAGCUUCAGAUAACUGGGAACCGUACCCCAAACCGACACAGGUGGUUAGGUAGAGAAUACCAAGGCGCUUGAGAGAACUCGGGUGAAGGAACUAGGCAAAAUGGCACCGUAACUUCGGGAGAAGGUGCGCCGGCGAGGGUGAAGGACUUGCUCCGUAAGCCCAUGCCGGUCGAAGAUACCAGGCCGCUGCGACUGUUUAUUAAAAACACAGCACUCUGCAAACACGAAAGUGGACGUAUAGGGUGUGACGCCUGCCCGGUGCCGGAAGGUUAAUUGAUGGGGUUAGCGCAAGCGAAGCUCUUGAUCGAAGCCCCGGUAAACGGCGGCCGUAACUAUAACGGUCCUAAGGUAGCGAAAUUCCUUGUCGGGUAAGUUCCGACCUGCACGAAUGGCGUAACGAUGGCGGCGCUGUCUCCACCCGAGACUCAGUGAAAUUGAAAUCGCUGUGAAGAUGCAGUGUAUCCGCGGCUAGACGGAAAGACCCCGUGAACCUUUACUAUAGCUUUGCACUGGACUUUGAAUUUGCUUGUGUAGGAUAGGUGGGAGGCUUUGAAGUGGGGACGCCAGUUCUCAUGGAGCCAUCCUUGAAAUACCACCCUGGCAACUUUGAGGUUCUAACUCAGGUCCGUUAUCCGGAUCGAGGACAGUGUAUGGUGGGUAGUUUGACUGGGGCGGUCUCCUCCCAAAGAGUAACGGAGGAGUACGAAGGUGCGCUCAGACCGGUCGGAAAUCGGUCGUAGAGUAUAAAGGCAAAAGCGCGCUUGACUGCGAGACAAACACGUCGAGCAGGUACGAAAGUAGGUCUUAGUGAUCCGGUGGUUCUGUAUGGAAGGGCCAUCGCUCAACGGAUAAAAGGUACUCCGGGGAUAACAGGCUGAUACCGCCCAAGAGUUCAUAUCGACGGCGGUGUUUGGCACCUCGAUGUCGGCUCAUCACAUCCUGGGGCUGAAGCCGGUCCCAAGGGUAUGGCUGUUCGCCAUUUAAAGUGGUACGCGAGCUGGGUUUAGAACGUCGUGAGACAGUUCGGUCCCUAUCUGCCGUGGACGUUUGAGAUUUGAGAGGGGCUGCUCCUAGUACGAGAGGACCGGAGUGGACGAACCUCUGGUGUUCCGGUUGUCACGCCAGUGGCAUUGCCGGGUAGCUAUGUUCGGAAGAGAUAACCGCUGAAAGCAUCUAAGCGGGAAACUUGCCUCAAGAUGAGAUCUCACUGGAACCUUGAGUUCCCUAAAGGGCCGUCGAAGACUACGACGUUGAUAGGUUGGGUGUGUAAGCGCUGUGAGGCGUUGAGCUAACCAAUACUAAUUGCCCGUGAGGCUUGACCAU
rnacentral:rRNA from 3 species